rnacentral:rRNA from 1 species
UACGGAGGUGGCGAGCGUUGUCCGAAGUUACUGGGCGUAAAGCGCGCGUAGGCGGGCUCUUAAGUGAGAAGUGAAAGGCUGGGGCUCAACUCCAUGCAGUGCUUCUCAUACUGGGGGUCUUGAGGGCGGUAGAGAGAAGUGGAAUGGCUGGUGUAGCGGUGAAAUGCGUAGAUAUCGGAAGGAACACCAGUGGCGAAAGCGGCUUCCUGGUCCAGCACCGACGUCAGGCACGAAAGCGUGGGGAGCAAACAGG